rnacentral:rRNA from 1 species
GACGAACGCUGGCGGCGUGCUUAACACAUGCAAGUCGAGCGAUGAAGCUUCCUUCGGGAAGUGGAUUAGCGGCGGACGGGUGAGUAACACGUGGGUAACCUGCCUCAAAGUGGGGGAUAGCCUUCCGAAAGGAAGAUUAAUACCGCAUAAUAUGAGAAAAUCGCAUGAUUUUCUUAUCAAAGAUUUAUUGCUUUGAGAUGGACCCGCGGCGCAUUAGCUAGUUGGUAAGGUAACGGCUUACCAAGGCAACGAUGCGUA